rnacentral:lncRNA from 1 species
CCUGUUCGAAGGGUUUUACACUAGUAAUUUAGGGGUCCUUUAUCAUGUUUAUAGCUUGUUGUUCCGUGUGAGCCAAGGCUCUGUGUUGAAGGCCGUCCAUUGACCUAUAAUGGUUUACUUUUACAAAUUGUUAUUUGGAUGGAUAGUUGUCUCAUUGGCACUCAUACCACAUCUUCCUAUAUCUAUCUACUGAAUGUUUUCUAUUUCAAUGGGUUGUAUUUAAAAAAAAAAGGAUUUGAAGCAACCAUUAUUUUUAAAUUAGGAGAAAAAAAA